CCCGAGCCAACAUGGGCCAAGCACAAGAGGAACUGAAACUCACACGCGAGAAACGGAAAAAUUCUGCCCGACAGGUAUUGUGCAUGUGGCGGACAUCCACUCCUACAUCAGGAUCAAGGCCAUGCAGUCUUCUGUUUAACUGGGUGAUACAGAGCCAAGUUCAGAGCCAAAGAUAGUAAGCAGAAAAGCAAGCAUACAAAACCAUGGACAAUAAGACCUCAAGCUGUUACAAAAAACAAGUAGCACCAUUAAGGGUACAUUCAAGUCUUCCAAACCCAGAAGUUGGCCAUGAAUACAGCCCCAGUUCUGGCAUUCCUAAAGAUGUAAGUCAAGAAAAGAGAAAUAUUG